rnacentral:rRNA from 1 species
UACGGGAGGCAGCAGUAGGGAAUUUUCGGCAAUGGGCGCAAGCCUGACCGAGCAACGCCGCGUGAGUGAUUAAGGCCUUCGGGUUGUAAAGCUCUGUUGUAAGGGAAGAACAUUCAGGAUAGGAAAUGAUCUUGAACUGACGGUACCUUACCAGAAAGCCACGGCUAACUACGUGCCAGCAGCCGCGGUAAUACGUAGGUGGCAAGCGUUAUCCGGAAUUAUUGGGCGUAAAGGGUGCGUAGGCGGUUUAUUAAGUCUAUGGUGAAAGUGCGGGGCUCAACCCCGUAUGGCCAUAGAAACUGGUAGACUUGAGUGCAGGAGAGGGCAAUGGAAUUCCAUGUGUAGCGGUAAAAUGCGUAGAUAUAUGGAGGAACACCAGUGGCGAAGGCGGUUGCCUGGCCUGUAACUGACGCUGAAGCAAGAAAGCGUGGGGAGCAAAUAGGAUUAGAUACCCUAGUAGUCCACGCCGUAAACGAUGAAUACUAAGUGUUGGAGAAAUUCAGUGCUGCAGUUAACGC